rnacentral:rRNA from 1 species
AUCUCUAGAUGCAACAUAAAACACUAAAGUACUAAAAGUUAUAAACUCCAAAUUUUAAGGAUUUGGCGGUGAUUUAGUCCAGUUAGAGGAACCUGUUUGAUAAACGAUAAACCACGCAGAAUCUUACCUGUUUUCAAAAUUUGUAUACCGUCAUUAUUAGAUGACUCUUAGAAGAAAAGUCAUUUCAAUAAAUAAAACACUUAAUAUAUUAGAUCAAGGUGCAGUUAAUAUUCAGGUCAAAAUGGGUUACAAUAAAACUUAUUUAUACGGUAUAAGAGGUCGAAAUACCUCUUUCAAGGAGGAUUUAAUAGUAACUCAAGUUUAAUAAGCUAGUUUGAUAAAGGACCUAGAUUGAGUACAUAUCGCCCGUCGCUUUCAUCCAAAAAUGAAAUAAGUCGUAACAUAG